UCCUCAUUGGUCCAGUGGUUUAGGAUUUUCGACUUUCACUCGGAAGGCCCGGGUUCGAUUCCCGGAUGAGGAA